GGGCCCGCACAAGCAGCGGAGCAUGUUGUUUAAUUCGAUGCAACGCGAAGAACCUUACCAGGUCUUGACAUUGAUGUAAAGCGGUAGAGAUACCGUGUGGUUUCGGCCGACAGAAAACAGGUGGUGCAUGGUUGUCGUCAGCUCGUGUCGUGAGAUGUUGGGUUAAGUCCCGCAACGAGCGCAACCCUUAUGAUCAGUUACUAACGCGUAGAGGCGAGGACUCUGAUGAGACUGCCGGGGAUAACUCGGAGGAAGGUGGGGACGACGUCAAAUCAUCAUGCCCCUUAUGACCUGGGCUACAAACGUGCUACAAUGGCGGCUACAAAGAGGAGCGAGCAUGUAAGUGUAAGCGGAUCUCAAAAAAGCCGUCCCAGUUCGGAUUGUGGGCUGCAACCCGCCCACAUGAAGUUGGAGUUGCUAGUAAUCGCGGAUCAGCAUGCCGCGGUGAAUACGUUCCCGGGCCUU
rnacentral:rRNA from 1 species